rnacentral:rRNA from 1 species
UACGUAGGUGGCGAGCGUUGUCCGGAUUUACUGGGCGUAAAGGGCGCGUAGGUGGUUGCGUAAGUGAGAUGUGAAAGCCCCGGGCUCAACCUGGGAACUGCAUCUUAUACUGCGUAGCUGGAGUGAAGUAGAGGGUAGUGGAAUUUCCGGUGUAGCGGUGAAAUGCGUAGAUAUCGGAAGGAACACCAGUGGCGAAGGCGGCUACCUGGACUUACACUGACACUGAGGCGCGAAAGCGUGGGUAGCAAACAGG